GCAGAUGUGGCUGGUUAAAGUGACUGACUAGAAAUCAGUUUCCCUCUGGUAGCGUAGGUUUGAAUCCUACCAUCUGCG
rnacentral:tRNA from 1 species